UUUAGUGCUUGCACUAAAUGAAACUAGAUACAAGCGAGCGGCGGACGGGUGAGUAACACGUGGGUAACCUGCCCAAGAGACUGGGAUAACACCUGGAAACAGAUGCUAAUACCGGAUAACAACACUAGACGCAUGUCUAGAGUUUGAAGGAUGGUUCUGCUAUCACUCUUGGAUGGACCUGCGGUGCAUUAGCUAGUUGGUAAGGUAAUGGCUUACCAAGGCGAUGAUGCAUAGCCGAGUUGAGAGACUGAUCGGCCACAUUGGGACUGAGACACGGCCCAAACUCCUACGGGAGGCAGCAGUAGGGAAUCUUCCACAAUGGACGAAAGUCUGAUGGAGCAACGCCGCGUGAGUGAAGAAGGGUUUCGGCUCGUAAAGCUCUGUUGGUAGUGAAGAAAGAUAGAGGUAGUAACUGGCCUUUAUUUGACGGUAAUUACUUAGAAAGUCACGGCUAACUACGUGCCAGCAGCCGCGGUAAUACGUAGGUGGCAAGCGUUGUCCGGAUUUAUUGGGCGUAAAGCGAGUGCAGGCGGUUCAAUAAGUCUGAUGUGAAAGCCUUCGGCUCAACCGGAGAAUUGCAUCAGAAACUGUUGAACUUGAGUGCAGAAGAGGAGAGUGGAACUCCAUGUGUAGCGGUGGAAUGCGUAGAUAUAUGGAAGAACACCAGUGGCGAAGGCGGC
rnacentral:rRNA from 1 species